GAUUAACAGGUGAACAAUGCUUAUAUAGUUCCAUAAUUGGUUGGACGUUUCUACAAACUACCGUAAUAGUUUACUAUAAGCCUUGCAAAAGGCGAA
rnacentral:ncRNA from 2 species